GCUAGUUGGAGGACAUGCAGCACUUUAACAUGAUUUGUGAUUCAAGAACUUCGCCUACGUUACAGUUCAUGGAGGUAGUUUGGACAACAGUGUGAAAUCAAUAAUGUGCGCUGCGCCCACCGAUCAUCGAUGAAACAGAAAGGAACAAAUGCAGAGAAGACAUAAAGGACGACAUAGCGUAUACAUUAAAGAGAUUGGCCUGUCAUAAUCUAUGCCGCUGAGUAAUCAGUGUUGGGUUGAGUUCUGCUACAAUGGCACCCGAAAAAGGACGGCCAGAAAAAAGUCCCAUCCCAGAAAGGUGACAUCAUCCUCUUUGCCAAAGGAAGAUGAUGGCCGCCACACCUGGAAUACCAACCUGAGCUGCAUACGCAGGCCAAAGAGAAGAUGGAAGUUAUGGAGUUAUGUCUCAGUGGGAUUAAUUGAAGGAGGAAAGCAAGAGGGAGCGAGAAGUGGAAAGACGUGGAAAACAGGGGAAACAUGGAAAAACAAUCUCUUGCGUCCCUGAGGGAUGGAGUGAUGUGAAGAACUCGUCUGAGGGUGUUGAACAGAGAUGCUUGGAAAGUCUCCUCUCUCCACCUGAGUGAAGAGUCAAGGUCAUACACAGGCCACGAUUCAUCAACAUCAGCCCAAAUCACAGCUCUACCCGUGAAACACAAAAACAGUAAACUAAAACUCCCAAAUGGAGGGCAAUGUUGACAAAAUCACAAAGGGUGCAUGGAGCAUCUGACUGAGU